rnacentral:rRNA from 1 species
UGGGGAAUAUUGCACAAUGGGCGCAAGCCUGAUGCAGCCAUGCCGCGUGUGUGAAGAAGGCCUUCGGGUUGUAAAGCACUUUCAGCGAGGAGGAAGGUGGUGGACUUAAUACGUUCAUCAAUUGACGUUACUCGCAGAAGAAGCACCGGCUAACUCCGUGCCAGCAGCCGCGGUAAUACGGAGGGUGCAAGCGUUAAUCGGAAUUACUGGGCGUAAAGCGCACGCAGGCGGUUUGUUAAGUCAGAUGUGAAAUCCCCGGGCUCAACCUGGGAACUGCAUUUGAAACUGGCAAGCUAGAGUCUCGUAGAGGGGGGUAGAAUUCCAGGUGUAGCGGUGAAAUGCGUAGAGAUCUGGAGGAAUACCGGUGGCGAAGGCGGCCCCCCUGGACGAAGACUGACGCUCAGGUGCGAAAGCGUGGGGAGCAAACAGAUUAGAUACCCUGGUAGUCCACGCUGUAAACGAUGUCGAUUUUGGAGGUUGUGCCCCUUGAGGCGUGGCUUCCGGAGCUAACGCGUUAAAUCGACCG